rnacentral:rRNA from 1 species
UACGGAGGGGGCGAGCGUUAUUCGGAAUUAUUGGGCGUAAAGGGCGCGUAGGCGGCUUGACAAGUCAAAGGUGAAAUCCCUCGGCUCAACUGAGGAACUGCCUUUGAAACUGUCUGGCUUGAGGCCGGGAGGGGGUAGCGGAAUUCCCAGUGUAGCGGUGAAAUGCGUAGAUAUCGGGAGGAACACCAAUUGCGAAGGCAGCUCGCUGGGACGUCACUGACGCUGAGACGCGAAAGCGUGGGGAGCAAACAGG